UCUGCGGCCUUUUUUAAGGCCAUAAUCAAAUUGCAUCAGGCAGUGG
rfam:Saprospira grandis str. Lewin, complete genome.